AUUGCUCACUAGAGGAAGGGAGAACUCCAUAGAAUUUGCAGUUCCAAGAAAAGAGGUAUUUUGGAAAUGUUCUGUAGGAAAGAAGAGAGAGAUGAAGAAACUGGUGAGAUUGAGAAAAUGUCACCUUAUUUGAAGAACAGCAUUAUCUUAAGGUUGUUGCCAUCGGGAAGCUUCUAAUACCGAUACUCACUGAGAUACCAAAAGCCAAACGCUUUACGGUGGCCAUGAGUGCUGAAGCAGGUUGGCCCUCUUCUGAUGAACUAACUGCCUUUGUAUCCAACAUGGGCACAGAUGUGCAGAAGACCCAAGAGGGCUGGUCUCGAACUCCUGACGUCCAGUGAUCUGCCCUCCUCGGCCUCCCAAAAUACUGGGAUUACGAGGUGAGCCACCGUGCUCGGCCUGCAGCAUCAUUUCUGAAACACAUUUCUCAAAUAUUUAUAUUAAAAACUGUCAAGUGUCAUCUAUGUUCAAAAGGGCAACAGAAAGAAAACAACGGAAUGUGACUUCUGACAAAAUUAUUGCUGUCCGCUGUACCCAUGGGUUAAACAGGACUGGCUACCUCCUUUGCAGAUAUUUGAUUGAUGUAGAAGGCAUGCGGCCAGAUGAUGCAAUUGAAUGUCACAUGGUUUUGAAGACUCAGCACAUUUCAUGCAGCCAGUCCACCCCAUGAAUUAGCCUGUUAAACAAGGACCUAGGUGUAAUCUACGUGGGAUCCAGGGUCACCCAACUCUUCGGCAUUUCCACGCUCAGACCCAAAAUUUGCAAGAAUGAGCCAGAUGACCUGUUGCAGCUAUUAAUGUCAUGUCCCCAAUUUGAAUUAAUUCAGUGUCUCAUUAAACAGUUGAAUGAGAAACAUCCAUCUUUAUAUUUUGGUCUUGCUGUACUUCAUCUAUUCUCCGUUGAUAUGAAAAAAAUUGGCAUUAAGCUACUUCCGGAAAUAAAUAAAGGUGGGAAAGAACGUUUCCACAGAAUCCAAAUGUUUACCAGAGAGGCCAUAUCCCUCCUCCUGGUCCCCGUGGAGAAGAUUAUUCACACAGAAGGUACACUUGGAAUGUGAAGCCAAAUGCCAGUCGAGCAGCUCGGGAGAGAAGAAGGUGGUGUCCUGACAGUUACUCCGGACUCUCCUAUCCAGCCUAUUGGGAAUGGACCCAGUGAUACAAACCUGUCCUGGAAUUCCACCUGGAGACCAGAGCUGGCCUGAAGAUUACAGGACUUGGAGAAUUCUGAAGUUAGUGCCAGACAACAUGUCUGGCUUGGAGAUUGCAAUCCCAGGGAGGUAUCCAUCCCCCGGGAAGUUUCCGUCACUACAAAGGAAUGAAGGAAGAAGUCAAUCUCUGGCUGGUCUCGAACUCCUGACGUCCAGUGAUCUGCCCGCCUCGGCCUCCCAAAGUACUGGGAUUACGAGGUGAGCCACCGUGCUCGGCCUGCAGCAUCAUUUCUGAAACACAUUUCUCAAAUAUUUAUAUUAAAAACUGUCAAGUGUCAUCUAUGUUCAAAAGGGCAACAGAAAGAAAACAACGGAAUGUGACUUCUGGUAAGCUGCUAUUUCUAGGGAUACUCUAUCCCUAGAAUAUUUUAUUGAUCUAAGCGUUUGCUAAAACCUAGUUUAUUGAUCUAAGCGUUUGCUAAAACCAACUUCAUUUUGCCCUAUUCUGAAUAGAUUUCACUCUGUUGCCUUUGUGCUUUUCUUCCAAAAUUUAAAAUACAUCUUUUUCUCUUGAAAUCAUUGUGUAAUUCUCCAGAGCAUAUCCCAAGGGUAAGUGUAGGGGACCCGGUCUUUCUGCUUUCAUUUAAAAUCCCAAAUCCCUUACCAUAGAAUAUCUGCCUCCUUGUCACCCAGUACUCUUCAUUUUCUCUUUCCAUCGAGUUCAGAGAGGAAUCUCCAGAGCGUGAAUAUUACUUUUGUUUGUUUGUUUGUUUGAGACAGGGUCUGGCGUCGUCACACAGGCUGAAGUCCAGUGGUGUGAACAUGGCUCACGGCAGCCUCAACCUGCUGGCCUCAAACAGUCAACUCAUCCUCCCACCUCAGCCUUCUGAGUACCUGGCAUGCCCCACGCCUGGCCAAUUUUUUUUUUUUAUUUGUAGAGAUGGGGUCUUGCAAUGUUGCCCAGACUGGUCGCGAACUCCUGGGCUCAAGCGAUUCUCCCAUCUCGGCCUCCCAAAGCACUGAGAUUACCGGCGGGAGCUACCAUGCCCAGCUGAAUAUUAAAGACAUCACUACACAUCACUAAAUAUAAAAUAGUAAAGUUGAAAUAUUAGUGACGGAGAUGUCCUCCCAAAGUGCUGGGAUUACAGGUGUGAGCCACCGUGCCUGGCUGAAUACGUAAAACAUCCCUAAAUUUAAAAUAGUGAAGUUGAAAUAUUAGUGGAGGGAGACUAUUAUUACACAUGAACCGCCACAGAAUAUGUUGCUGGUUUUCUAUGCCACUUAGGUUUUGUCUCUGUUUCUGUUGAAACAAACACCCUCAAAAAGUGCCUGAUUUCAUUUUCUGUAUGUGUGCCCUUUAAGACUCAGCAUUAGAAAAGAAAGGGGCAAGAAGGAAUAACCAAUCUAUUAUCCUAAUGUAACAGAUGAGGAAACAGAUUUUAUGAGAGAAUAAAAGAGUCCUGUAAAGUCACACAGCUAGUAACUGUCAAAGCCAAAACUGAAAUGAGGUCUCUAGGUUUCUACUUGAAUACGUUCCCUGUUAUUCCAAGCUUUUUGGGACUAUAGUGGUAAAGAAAUCUAAAGUUAGGGGAAAGAAGUCAAAUGAAAAACUGUCAAGAAUGUUGCUGUCUUUACCUGACAUGGUCAGAGAAGAAGAAACAUCAACUGUAGAUUCAAGGGAUGAAGAGACAAUCCUAGUGGAUGUCUGGGUGGCUGACGCCAAGGAGUGCAUGUGUCCGGUAUGAAGGCCACCGGUCACACUGGUCACUGGCCACCUGCGAUGAUACAAAUUUAUAGGCUACCCCAAGAUUCUACUGGGUGGCGAUAGGCUUGGUGAGAGAAUGAUGUCACACACAGCAGGCAGUUUAAAGGUGUGCGAGAGCCAAUAGGGAGGCCAGAUUCUCAGGGAGAUGGGAUUGGCUGGCAGAGGUGGUAGGAAAGCUGAGACAGUACCAAGUGGCUGAGUUCCGGGGAGGUGAAAUCCUGCAAGAUCAUCUUGGUGUUUCUUAUACAUGUUCACUAAUAUCAUUGACUAGUAUUUGUAUUUUAUGUGUCGUAUUUCAUAGUACAUAAUACUGUACAUUUAUGAUUGUAUUGUACAUACACAGUGUCCCUGCAGAGAAAGGAAAGGGCCAUCUAAGCUGAGCAAUUACAGUUGUUCUAAAAGCGUUUCAGUGAAUCUGAUUAAUGAAUUUACUGCUGCUUUUAAGGGCCAAACGAAGAGAUUAAAGAGCCUUCUUUUGUACCUUGGCUGAAGAGCUAACUUCGUUGACUGCCCCUUGUAGGAAAGGAUGUGGUCCAAAGCUCCUGUCUUUUAAUUUCUUCUCCUCGAAUCCUACCUUGCUUGGGCUGGCCCAAGCUGGGCCAGGUUGGACUUGGAUCUGUCUUCUGCGCUUCUUUUUUCCGCUUGAUUUUAGGCAUUGUUUCUGGGCCAAGCCUUGAUCUUGCAUUUUUACACUCGUGGGUAUGACUUCCUGUCAGCUUCCAGAGCAGGGGUCUCCUUUUCAGUGUCGUGACAUUUGGAAAACGGACUCUGCUCAUGAGAAGCAAACAUCAGGGAGGUAGAAGACAGGGCUGACUGCAGACCUUCCCUCUUCUAGCCUUUGUUCACAAUUCUUUUGCCCAUAGUUUGCUACCUCUGACUCCUUGGGCCACACAGACAUCCUGCCAUCCUGCUCUGUUAUACGUGAGAGGCAUUCAGGGUACUUUCUUUCUUGUCACGUAAAAGGAUCCAGUGUGGCGCAGUUACUUACAGCCUCCUCUCCAUUGCAAACAGCCACCGUGGAAUCUUGGGCCUUUAGAAUUCCCUGUGGGCCAUGCUUGGGUGCAAGGGCCAGGCAAAAUGAAGAGUUGAAUUUAGAGGAGAAUAGGAAAUAGGCCAGUUGAGUUACAGGAACAAAGAGAUUUGUGUGGAUUUUUUGGUUUGUGUGAGAAGCAAUGACACACCCUUAUUUUGUAUGAACAGAACAGAUAAUUCAGUAUUUUGUAUAUAGCUAGAUAGUCCAGAAACUUCCAUGACUUUUGUACACCGAAGAAAAUAAUCGUAAUAUAUUUUUCCAUUUUGUUUUAUGUCAUAUUGCCUCAUUUAUGUCAUUCCUAAGUAUGUCUAUGGAAUGUAGACUGCUUUUAUUUUAUUAUUUUUAUUUAUUUAUUUAUUUUUGAGACAGUGUUCCACACUUGUGUCCCAGACUGGAGUGCAGUGGCACGAUCUCGGCUAAUUGAAACCUGCACCUCCUGGGUUCAAGCGAUUCUCCUGCCUCAGCCUCCUGAGUAGCUGGGAUUACAGGUGCCCGCCACCAUGCCUGACUAAAUCUUGUAUUUUUAGUAGAGAUAAGGUUUCACCAUGCUGGCUCCUGACCUCGGGUGAUCUCCCCACCUCAGUCUCCCAAAGUGCUGUGAUUAUAGGCGUGAGCCACCAACCAUGUAGGUUGCUUUUAAAUGCCCUGGUUUUUAUACAUGUUUUUUCCCUGUCAUAUUUUUAAGGAAUACAACAUUGCAAGACAUAGUGCACGUUUUUCUCGUAAUGGUUGUUUGUUUUGAUACAUUAUGAACUAUCUUGGCUUGAUAGGUUUCGUGGAGGAAAUCAAAAGGAGGGUGUGUGUGCAAAAGGCACUGUGGCGAGUUGUGCUGUGUGCUCAAGCAAAGAAAAAGAUGUCUGCGGUCAGCUCAAGUUGACCUGGAUUGCCUUGGUUUUUGUUUUCCUAGUUAUUGCUGUUCUCACUAACUUCUCUAAUAACUGUGAUAAAUGAGUUAGGGCUGAGUUGCUGGUGAUUUGUGUGUGGAAUAAGCUGGUUUGGGGGAGGAAAUCUACGGAUAUAAUAUUUUUCCUUGGUGGUAGGCUAUUAGAGAUACCUGAAUUGAUCUUGUUUUUCUUUUCUUGAGAUGGAGUCUCCCUCUGUCACCCAGGCUGGAGGUCGGUGACGUGGUCUUGGUUCACUGCAACCCCCGCCUCCUGCAUUCAAGCCAUUCUCCUGCCUCAGCCUCCCAAGUAGCCUGGACUACAGGUGUGAGCCACCACAUCUAGCUAAUUUUGGGGCCAAGUUUUGUAUUUUUAGUUGACACAGAUUUUCACUACGUUGGCCAGGCUGGUCUCAAACUCCUAACCUCAAGUGAUCUGCCCACCUUGGCCUCCCAAGGUGCUGGGAUUACAAGCUGGGAUCACUGGGCCCGGCCUGAAUGUUUUAGAAUUUAAUGCCAAAUUUGAAUGUGGACUGGGUGCAGUGGCUCAUACCUGUAAUCCCAGAACUUUGGGAGGCCGGAGCUCUGUGUGGGUGGCUUCCGAGUCUCUUUCGGUCUGGGGUCUUAUCCUGGCACGUAGCGCACUGGACUGGUGCUUUUGGCCGGCUUGGCAUCGGGUGGGCCGCUUCUUGGAACCCACAUGAGCCAAUGGCAGCAUCCCCACAGUGGCUGGGGUCCGGGAUGCAACUUUCCUGGAUGCUCCUCGUCCAAGAAGAAGAGCGGAAACCACAUCCCGGAAAGACAAAAUUAUUGCUGUCCGCUGUACCCAUGGGUUAAACUGGACUGGCUACCUCAUUUGCAGAUAUUUGAUUGAUGUAGAAAGCGUUCGGCCAGAUGAUGCAAUUGAAUGUCACGUGGUUUUGAAGACUCAGCACAUUUCAUGCAGCCAGUCCACCCCAUGAAUUAGCCUGUUAAACAAGGACCUAGGUGUAAUCUACGUGGGAUCCAGGGUCACCCAACUCCUCGGCAUUUCCCCGCUCAGACCCAAAAUUUGCAAGAAUGAGCCAGAUGACCUGUUGCAGCUAUUAAUGUCACGUCCCCAAGUUGAAUUAAUUCAGUGUCUCAUUAAAGAGUUGAAUGAGAAACAACCAUUUUUAUCUUUUGGUCUUGCCGUACUUCUUCUGUUCUCCAUUGAUAUGAAAAAAAUUGACAUUAAGCUACUUCAGGAAAUAAAUAAAGGUGGGAAAGGUAAGUAGAGUAAAAUGUUGUGGAAGAAAUAGUAAUGGGUUAUUUAGGGAAAGGUUUAAGAUGCUUAUGCCUAAGUUAACUCAGAUUUUCCUAAGAGUUCCUUCUUAGCAAGAGUUAACUUUAGGAGUUUAUAAAUGUAAAGAUUGCCAUGUAAAUAAUAGUCUAUUAGCAAUAGGAUAUAUUUUUUGAGAAAAUCAGAAUGAAGAGAGAAUCUUUGUGAAGCCUGAGGGGAAUGUUACAAUAAUUAUGAUCACUAACACUAAAAAGUUUAUAUAUAUUGACAUAUGUAUAUAUUUAGCCAUCUUUUUAUAUGUAUUUUGAAUGUUACAUAAACUAUAUGUUUUAAUUCUUAAACCAAAUGUAUGUGUAUUUACAUAUGAUAUUCACCCUGAACCUAACUCUGCUGUAGAUUGGAGAAUAACUAAUUAGGCUGGAUGCCGUAGCUCACCCUUGUAAUCCCAGCACUUUGGGAGGCUGAGAUGGGUGGAUCACUUGAGCUCAGGAGUUCAAGACUAGCCUGGGCAACAUGAUAAAACUCUGUCUUUAUUUAAAAAAAUGCAAAAGUUAGCUAGGUGUGGUGGUAUGCACCUGUAGUUUCAGCUACUCAAGGGGCUGAGGUGGAAGAAUGCCUGAGCCCAGGGAACUCAAGGCUUCAGUCAGCCGAGAUUGUGCCACUGCGCUUCAACCUGGGUGAGACUCUGCCUCAGAAAACAAAAAAAAGAUAGAGGGAUUGAGAGAGAGAAAGAGAAAGAAUAAUUAAAACUCUUAUUUUCUUUUCAUUAAUAUAGAAAGUUGAACAGACAACUUGAUUUUAAAUUACUGGAAAAUAUAUUUUGGAAAUAACUUUAUAUUUUGAAAUUAUCACUAUAGAUAUCAACUAAAAUAUUUUGAUAGAAAAUUAGUAAUUAUGGUAGAAAUAAAAUUAUAAUGAUGACAGCAUUCUGAAGAGAUCCUUUUUUAUGAAGUACCAUAAGUAAUGCAGGUAAUAGAUAAGAAAUGAGUUCCAUAAAUUGUUAGAUCCCUAAGAGAUUUUAAAAAGUAAACAAUAUGAAAUUUCUUGAACAAACAAAAUGAUUUCAUUUCCUUAAGAAAAAUUUGUGUUAUAGAAGCCCCAUCAUUAAUAGGUCUCCAUCUAGAGACAGGAUGAAGAGUUUGUCAAAGAGUUCCUCAAGUUUUUUGGUCAGCAUCACUAAGGCCUUUAAUUAAGUGUUUGAAAUCAUGAAAACUUGGCAUAUAGGUCCACAGUUAUUUGAUAGUUUCUGGUGGGGCUUUAUAGACUCUGAGAAUAAGGAUGAGCCCACACUCGUCACUUUCUGAGCUUUUGCCUUAUAUCCUUCAGCAUCUGCCACCUUAACAAAAAGGAGAUGAGUGGAGACAUGGAAUGUGAGAAAGUGGUGGAGGGUUGAACUGAGACAUGAAGAGGUUAAUGAUAAGAGAGGAGGAGAAGGAACUAACCCAAGUACUUGCCAUGAGCUAGACUGAGCACUGAACUUUAUAUGGUUGAUCAUAGGGGAAUCAGGUAGUGUUUAACGGUAGCUGAGAUGAAAUUAUGUCUUUUUCUGUUUUUGAAGAAUCAUUAAAGUAUGGAUUAUCAAAUAAGAAUAAGUGCCAUACUAUAAUAUUGUAUUUCCCCCCCGACAGGUGCAGUAGAAAGUCUUAUGAUAAAUGAUUCAUUUUGCUCUAUAGAAAUGUGGCAAGAAGUUGCAAGUAUAUGUUUACAGAAUGGCUUUGACAACUUAUCUAGCAACAUCAUGUUCAUUCUUCGAUCUCAGGCUGCAGUUACA